GCCGCGUAGGUUCGACUGGUAGAAGACGGCAUUCUUAUGAAAUGCAAUAGGUGGGUUCGAUCCCCACACGCGGUAC
rnacentral:tRNA from 1 species